GAUGAACGCUGGCGGCGUGCCUAAUACAUGCAAGUCGAGCGAACGGACGAGAAGCUUGCUUCUCUGAUGUUAGCGGCGGACGGGUGAGUAACACGUGGAUAACCUACCUAUAAGACUGGGAUAACUUCGGGAAACCGUAGCUAAUACCGGAUAAUAUUUUGAACCGCAUGGUUCAAAAGUGAAAGACGGUCUUGCUGUCACUUAUAGAUGGAUCCGCGCUGCAUUAGCUAGUUGGUAAGGUAACGGCUUACCAAGGCAUCGAUGCAUAGCCGACCUGAGAGGGAGAUCGGCCACACGGGAACUGAGAAACGGUCCAGACUCCUACGGGAGGCAGCAGUAGGGAAUCUUCCGCAAUGGGCGAAAGCCUGACGGAGCAACGCCGCGUGAGUGAUGAAGGUCUUCGGAUCGUAAAACUCUGUUAUUAGGGAAGAACAUAUGUGUAAGUAACUGUGCACAGCUUGACGGUACCUAAUCAGAAAGCCACGGCUAACUACGUG
rnacentral:rRNA from 1 species